CCUGGUCCAGCACAGGGCCAGCACCAUUGGAGGGAAGAUCAUCGCGCUGCAGCGUCCCUUGGCCAGAUGCUUUCCCGCAGAGACCAGUGGUCUGAUUACUUCCAUAUGUACCAAGGUACCGGGGAUCCAACUCGGGCCUUGCGCUUGUGAUGUAGGCUGUGGAACCACUGAGCUAAAUCCCUUGGCCCUUACAUAUUUUAUUAUUAGUUGUAAAUUAUGCAUGGAAUAUCCUUUAUACCAGUAAAAUUUAUAAUGAGUAUCUUUUUCCCCCAAAGAGCUGGAUGUUAAACAUUUACCAGUAUACUGCUUCAGCCAAUCAAGGUGGACCUAAAGGUAACAGGCACGUGGAAUGGGCAAAGGAAGAGAGAAGACAGGACUACCUCAACGUUAAGAGCAGAAAUAGAGACUAUAAGCUCUACUCCGAUUUUUUUCUUGCAAUGCCACAUACACAUUUUAAGUGAUUUGCUUUUUUUCCCUCUUCCUUUACUCCACUGUUGUUUACAGAGUGUGCUGCUUGUUGAGAAAGGAUUGUGAGAGAAAUAGUAUCCUUUAGAUACUGUAGAUGAAGAACUAGAAGAAGGAAUUGAAGAACUGUGUUACGGUUUAUAUCUAGAUGUACCCCCAAAACCUCAUGUGUUCAAAGGUGGGAUGUGGGCAGGGUCAUUGGAUUAUGUGGGGUUAUAGCUGACUUGCUGUUAGGACUCAGGGUCUGGUCAGAAGAGGCGGGUCCCCGGAGGUAUGGCCUGGAAGGGUUUGUCUCCUUCCCCAACUCCUCCCUUUUCUUUCUGCUUCCUGUCCACCAUGCCAUGAACAGCUCCCAUCUACCAUGCUCCACUGCCAUGCUGCUCUGCUUUGGAGCAGGCUGAGUGUAGACUGAAACCUGGGCCACAAAUACUCCUUCCUUAAUCUGUGGGUAUUGGGUAUUUUGUCCCAGGAACAAGGAAAGUAAGAUAAACUGGAUUAUUUCCUUUGGGAGUGGUGUAGAUUCCAUUAUUUGAAGUGGUUGUGUUUGUACUUAUGCAUUUAAAAGUAUAAGAUGAGUCUUCAGGGAUGCUGAUCACCCAGCCAAAGUGGUAGAGAGUCCUGUCAUCCUUGCAUCCUUUUCUGUGUGUGGGGAAUGGUCCACAGUGUAAUUCAUCCUGGGAAAAUGAGUUUUGCCUCCACAUAGGGAAACUAGAAUAUAUGCUUUUCCCUACCCUUGAGGGGUGUGUGUGUGUAAAAAAUUACAUCCUUCUAUUUGGAAUUUUUGCUCUGGAGACAGAGAUAGGCAACAGUUUAUAAUUCUUGAUAGCUUUUGCCAUGGUAGACAGAGUCCAGAGAUGGCUUCCUUAAUAGACUUUCCCUAUGAUGUAAUUUUAGCAGUAGAUCCAACUGCUCAGCUUCCUUUGUAUCCUACCAUUUUCAGAGCCAAUUUUCAAACCUUCCUGUUAAUUCUAUAAACUGUUCAAUAAAUUGCAAUAAAUUGAUUUUCUGCUUAAGGUAAGUAGAGUUCAUUUCUGUUGUUGAAGUUAAUAAAAUAUGCCCAGAAGGAAGCCUUUUGAAAGGCUUUUGAAAUCAUGCUGUGAUUUCAGAAUGGAGGUGGUUCCUAAUAGGACCCCUGGCUGGAGC
rnacentral:lncRNA from 1 species